GCUGAUGUGGCAUGCCUCUAAAACCAGUAUUAGAAUUUAUCUUUUUCUUGAAUUUUUUGGGCUUUUCCCCAUUUUAAUUAAUUCUUUUCUUUCAAUUAUACCCGUUUGUUUUCCUUAAUAGAUUCAUUAAUAACUGUUUAAUUUUACCGAACGCGUACCAGCAAUAAUUCACGACAUUUCGAAACAACCCCACAGUCUUCCCCUUUUCCUUCACCAAUCACCACUAACCCUUCUUCUCACGAAAUCUACAUUCAAUUCAUACCUCCACAAUCACAUCAACUUUCAGCCACUAACAAAAAAAAAAAAUUAACAGAGGAAUACAAUUCAACCCAUCGGUUGCGGUAUUUUAAAGCAAAAACUUAAGAUUUUCAAUUAUAAUGGCGGCAGGACAGGCUAAGAAGAUACUAGUAGAAGAGAAGAUUUUUACCCUUUGAAAUAUUUCAGAAGGUCCUAUGUACUGCAAUUUCGUCGCAACUGUGCCUUUAAGUGAAUCGUACUACUUUAAUUUAACAUUAUUCUCAUUUGUAAGAUUUUGGAGGAAACGGGAUUUGAGUUUGGACAAACGUAAAAGGCAAAUAAGAGAUAUUCCCUACUCUGGAGUUAUGCUGUGUUGUGGCGCCAGUGAUGGGGUGGCGACCACGUUCUGUUCACCGAGUCCCAUAAUGGGGCCGGAUAUGGCAUAUGUUUUGACAUGCAUUGAUCGUUCUGUCCACUGCGUCCCUCACGGAAGGGCUGGGAUCUGUUAUACGCACAUAUACGACAUACGACCCUGAUAUGCACGGUUUGUGUUUGGAAAGUAAGUUCUCUGGCGUUUUGUAUCCUCUGUACUUCUUCUGACCUACGAUAUUGAUAUACAUGAUCUGUGUCUGGAAAAACAAGUAUUCUGACAUUCUGGAUCCGUACUUCUUCUGACAUACGACUUCGGCUUAUAUGAUCUGUGUUUGGGAAACAAUCAUUCUAAUAUUCUGAGUCUGCACUUUUCUGACAUACGACAUCUGCUUACAUGAUUAGUGAUCGGGAAAUAGCGCUUUGAUAAUCUGGAUAAUGUAUUUACCUUUGUACUGUUGAUCCGGUAUGUUCUGUUUUCUGUAUUUCAUGCUUUACAUACUCAGUACAUAUUCCGUACUGACCCCUCUUCUUCAGGGGCUGCGUUUCAUGCCGCGCAGGUUCACCCUGAUGAUGUGAAGUUGUUAUAGAGGAUGUUCCAGCAGGAUUGGCGAGCUCCAUUUGCUUCUGGAGCGUUGUCGAGUCAGAGUGCAUGUACGAUAUGCUUUCCGGAUUGAUGUUAGAGACUUUGUAGACAGAGUCGUGAGUAUAGUAUGUCAGUUGUGUAUGCGGCUUCAUUAGCCGAUAUGUCAUUCUGUAUUAUGUGUUAAAUUCUAUAUGAUUAUAGAUUCUGUUUG